rnacentral:lncRNA from 1 species
CUCUACCCCUACCAGCACAAUCUCCGCUGCGCACCGCUUCCUGCUUGACAACUUGACUGGCAACACUAUGGAAUAUUCUUCAAGAGUACCCGCGUUCGUGUCCUCUUGCCCCGUGCCAAGGCCUUCUAAAUCCAACUUUGCCCCUAUAAGUUUAGUCACCUUAGUUCCUCCAUCAAAUUCACCGAGAUAAGAUGCAUGUGCCCAGAAGCUCCC